rnacentral:tRNA from 1 species
CCCCAUGUGGUGCAAAUGGUUAAUACGCUUGGCUGCUAACCAAAAUGUUGGCGGUUCAAGUCCACCCAGAGGUG